UACGUAGGGUGCAAGCGUUAAUCGGAAUUACUGGGCGUAAAGCGUGCGCAGGCGGUUAUGUAAGACAGAUGUGAAAUGCCCGGGCUUAACCUGGGAACUGCAUUUGUGACUGCAUGGCUAGAGUGUGUCAGAGGGGGGGUAGAAUUCCACGUGUAGCAGUGAAAAUGCGUAGAUAUGUGGAGGAAUACCGAUGGCGAAGGCAGCCCCCCUGGGAUAACACUGACGCUCUGCACGAAAGCGUGGGGAGCAAACAGG
rnacentral:rRNA from 1 species